rnacentral:rRNA from 1 species
GAUGAACGCUGGCGGCGUGCCUAAUACAUGCAAGUCGAGCGAACAGACGAGGAGCUUGCUCCUCUGACGUUAGCGGCGGACGGGUGAGUAACACGUGGAUAACCUACCUAUAAGACUGGGAUAACUUCGGGAAACCGGAGCUAAUACCGGAUAAUAUAUUGAACCGCAUGGUUCAAUAGUGAAAGUCGGUUUUGCUGUCACUUAUAGAUGGAUCCGCGCCGCAUUAGCUAGUUGGUAAGGUAACGGCUUACCAAGGCAACGAUGCGUAGCCGACCUGAGAGGGUGAUCGGCCACACUGGAACUGAGACACGGUCCAGACUCCUACGGGAGGCAGCAGUAGGGAAUCUUCCGCAAUGGGCGAAAGCCUGACGGAGCAACGCCGCGUGAGUGAUGAAGGUCUUCGGAUCGUAAAACUCUGUUAUUAGGGAAGAACAAAUGUGUAAGUAACUAUGCACGUAUUGACGGUACCUAAUCAGAAAGCCACGGCUAACUACGUG